rnacentral:rRNA from 1 species
AUUGAACGCUGGCGGAAUGCUUUACACAUGCAAGUCGAACGGCAGCACGGACUUCGGUCUGGUGGCGAGUGGCGAACGGGUGAGUAAUAUAUCGGAACGUAUCCAAUAAUGGGGGAUAACUAAUCGAAAGGUUAGCUAAUACCGCAUACGCCCUGAGGGGGAAAGCUAGGGACCGCAAGGCCUGGCGUUAAUGGAGCGGCCGAUAUCUGAUUAGCUAGUUGGUGAGGUAAAGGCUCACCAAGGCUUCGAUCGGUAGCUGGUCUGAGAGGACGACCAGCCACACUGGAACUGAGACACGGUCCAGACUCCUACGGGAGGCAGCAGUGGGGAAUUUUGGACAAUGGGCGAAAGCCUGAUCCAGCCAUUCCGCGUGAGUGAAGAAGGCCUUCGGGUUGUAAAGCUCUUUCGCAAGGGAAGAAAACUUAUCCUCUAACAUAGGGUGAGGUUGACGGUACCUUGAUAAGAAGCACCGGCUAACUACGUGCCAGCCGCCGCGGUAA